CCAACGGCUAUAUUUUCAAACGGCUAUAUUUCCAAAUGUCUUUGUAAUGCAGUGCUAUCAAUAAAAUAGGAUAAAGCAUCAAAUAGUUCUUACAACAACUAGGAUAAAGCAUCAAAUAGUUCUUACAACAACUAGGAUAAAGCAUCAAAUAGUUCUUACUCUAGGCGACGAGCAAGGAUCUCAUUCUACUUAGCUUGGUAGAACUGCUUUUGCAUAUCAGUCAUACCACUAGUGUCUAUGAGCAUGACCCUCUCAUCUAAUUCAAACUGUCUCCGUGCAUCCUCCCUCUCGUUUCGUGCAUCCUCCUUCUUUUUCAGUGCAAUCUCCUCUUUUCGCAAUUCAAAUUGCUGUGCAUAGCGAGCAUUUUUUGUCGCCUCUUUGAUGUCAUCCUUCUCUUGCUUUGCUGCCCACACAGUUUCUAAUGACAACUUGCAAGCACUGUCAUCAGCUUUACCUUUCCGCAAUUUGUCCUUCUUCACACCAU
rnacentral:lncRNA from 1 species